CUGAACCUUCGGGGAACGAUAACGGCGUCGAGCGGCGGACGGGUGAGUAAUGCCUAGGAAAUUGCCCUGAUGUGGGGGAUAACCAUUGGAAACGAUGGCUAAUACCGCAUAAUGCCUACGGGCCAAAGAGGGGGACCUUCGGGCCUCUCGCGUCAGGAUAUGCCUAGGUGGGAUUAGCUAGUUGGUGAGGUAAUGGCUCACCAAGGCGACGAUCCCUAGCUGGUCUGAGAGGAUGAUCAGCCACACUGGAACUGAGACACGGUCCAGACUCCUACGGGAGGCAGCAGUGGGGAAUAUUGCACAAUGGGCGCAAGCCUGAUGCAGCCAUGCCGCGUGUGUGAAGAAGGCCUUCGGGUUGUAAAGCACUUUCAGUCGUGAGGAAGGUGGUGUAGUUAAUAGCUGCAUUAUUUGACGUUAGCGACAGAAGAAGCACCGGCUAACUCCGUGCCAGCAGCCGCGGUAAUACGGAGGGUGCGAGCGUUAAUCGGAAUUACUGGGCGUAAAGCGCAUGCAGGUGGUUUGUUAAGUCAGAUGUGAAAGCCCGGGGCUCAACCUCGGAAUAGCAUUUGAAACUGGCAGACUAGAGUACUGUAGAGGGGGGUAGAAUUUCAGGUGUAGCGGUGAAAUGCGUAGAGAUCUGAAGGAAUACCGGUGGCGAAGGCGGCCCCCUGGACAGAUACUGACACUCAGAUGCGAAAGCGUGGGGAGCAAACAGGAUUAGAUACCCUGGUAGUCCACGCCGUAACGAUGUCUACUUGGAGGUUGUGGCCUUGAGCCGUGGCUUUCGGAGCUAACGCGUUAAGUAGACCGCCUGGGGAGUACGGUCGCAAGAUUAAAACUCAAAUGAAUUGACGGGGGCCCGCACAAGCGGUGGAGCAUGUGGUUUAAUUCGAUGCAACGCGAAGAACCUUACCUACUCUUGACAUCCAGAGAACUUUCCAGAGAUGGAUUGGUGCCUUC
rnacentral:rRNA from 1 species